rnacentral:rRNA from 1 species
UACGUAGGGUGCGAGCGUUGUCCGGAAUUAUUGGGCGUAAAGAGCUCGUAGGCGGUGUGUCACGUCGGCCGUGAAAACCUGCAGCUUAACUGUGGGCGUGCGGUCGAUACGGGCAUCACUGGAGUUCGGCAGGGAGACUGGAAUUCCUGGUGUAGCGGUGAAAUGCGUAGAUAUCGGGAGGAACACCAGUGGCGAAGGCGGCUGCCUGGGCCCAGUUC